UCCCUGCUGGCUCAGAUGGUAAAGCGUCUGCCUACAAUGCUGGAGACCCAGGUUCGAUCCCUGGGUCAGGAA
rnacentral:tRNA from 1 species